rnacentral:rRNA from 1 species
AGCGAACGCUGGCGGCAGGCCUAACACAUGCAAGUCGAACGAAGUCUUCGGACUUAGUGGCGGACGGGUGAGUAACACGUGGGAACGUGCCUUUAGGUUCGGAAUAACUCAGGGAAACUUGUGCUAAUACCGAAUGUGCCCUUCGGGGGAAAGAUUUAUCGCCUUUAGAGCGGCCCGCGUCCGAUUAGCUAGUUGGUGAGGUAAAGGCUCACCAAGGCGACGAUCAGUAGCUGGUCUGAGAGGAUGAUCAGCCACAUUGGGACUGAGACACGGCCCAAACUCCUACGGGAGGCAGCAGUGGGAAAUCUUGCGCAAUGGGCGAAAGCCUGACGCAGCCAUGCCGCGUGUAUGAUGAAGGUCUUAGGAUUGUAAAAUACUUUCACCGGGGAAGAUAAUGACGGUACCCGGAGAAGAAGCCCCGGCUAACUUCGUGCCAGCCGCCGCCGUAA